UCCUACGGGAGGCAGCAGUGGGGAAUUCUGGACAAUGGGCGCAAGCCUGAUCCAUCCAUGCCGCGUGAGUGAAGAAGGCCUUCGGGUUGUAAAGCUCUUUCAGACGGAAAGAAAUCGCACGAUCCAAUACAUCGUGUGGAUGACGGUCACCGUAAGAAGAAGCACCGGCUAACUACGUGCCAGCAGCCGCGGUAAUACGUAGGGUGCGAGCGUUAAUCGGAAUUUCUGGGCGUAAAGCGUGCGCAGGCGGUUUCGUAAGACAGAUGCGAAAUCCCCGGGCUCAACCUGGGAACUGCAUUUGUGACUGCGAGACUAGAGUGUAGCAGAGGGGGGUAGAAUUCCACGUGUAGCAGUGAAAUGCGUAGAGAUGUGGAGGAAUACCGAUGGCGAAGGCAGCCCCCUGGGCUAACACUGACGUUCAUGCCCGAAAGCGUGGGGAGCAAACAGGAUUAGAUACCCUGGUAGUCCACGCCCUAAACGAUGUCAACUAGGUGUUGGGGAAGGAGACUUCUUUAGUACCGCACCUAACGCGUGAAGUUGACCGCCUGGG
rnacentral:rRNA from 1 species